GAUCUGACGGUACUUGAGGAAUAAGCCACGGCUAAUUCCGUGCCAGCACCCGCGGUAAUACGGGAGUGGCAAGUGUUAUCCGGAAUUAUUGGGCGUAAAGCGUCCGCAGGUGGCCUUUCAAGUCUGCUGUUAAAACUUGGAGCUUAACUUCAUCAUGGCAGUCGAAACUGUUGGGCUUGAGUGUGGUAGGGGUAGAGGGAAUUCCCGGUGUAGCGGUGAAAUGCCUAGAUAUCGGAAAGAACACCAGUGGCGAAGG
rnacentral:rRNA from 1 species